ACGGGCUCCUCUGCCCCCCUCGGGUGUCCCCAGUCACAGGAAGGGGACAGGAGAGGGAAGGAGAGGAGGGAUUUGCAGGGGGCACAAGGAAUGCCAGCCCUCCAGCCAUGAGGGGGGAGGUUCAUUAGUUCCACUGCAGCACAGCCGGCCGCAGGAGCCCGGGUUUCCAGCCGAGCACGUCCCUCUAAGCUGCGUCUGGGGGACCCUUUGAUUGGGAUAAUGAGACAGAAAGUGUCUCUGUGCUAUGGGGGGCCGGGUAUGUGCCGAGGAGCACAGCUACCCCGCGUUUACUAAUGAGAUAAUUUAUUGUGGCUGUCUGAGAGGCUGAAUGUACACAACUCCACCCGCACGCUCACCACCCACUCCAAGCCCUCUGCUCCCAGCUGGAGACUCAGCACUGGAGCUGGAAAUACGCUGUGAGAUCUCCCUGUACCAUCCUUCUCUCAGGACACCUGGGCAGCGGGGCCCCGUUUGCAUCUGAGUAUCCCCCCAACAGUUUUCACUGCUUCCCUGCCCAAGCUGCCUAAUCCCUCUGUUUUUCAGCCUAAUUUUGAUCUUUGAUUCCAUCAAGUAGCUUUGUUCCUGCCUCUCUCUCUCUUUCCCUGCUCCCGAAGAUCCCUCCUUACAUAGCUCAAGUGUUAGGGCUUGCCUGCACUUGAAGGUUAACUGGAUUAAGAGACAUAUAAAUCUGCAAGACAGUAACUAAUUUCUGGAUGGUUUUGGAAAGCUUUAGUGAGAAGCAAUCAUUUCUGAGCAGCUCAGUGACUGCCUGGUCUGUGAAUUCCCUCCUGGCAGCAGCAGGAUCAGAGUCUGCCUCACUUAAAUCCUCGCCGUCACGGCUGAAAUGUGCCUACAAAGAGAUCCAGGAAUUCCCCCCGCGUUUGGAUCACAAAGGGUUAUUUCGCAGGAGUUGCAACUAAAAACAAAAAUUCAAAUUGCCACCACUGAAAGGAAUUCACCACUGAAAGGAAUUCACCACUGAAAGGAAUUCACCACUGAAAGGAAUUCACUAGAAGGACUUCACAGCAUUCCCACAGCCCUGCCUCCCUGCCGUCCCCCCAAGAGAGAAGAACAAAGCAGUAGUGUCACAGCCAAAAUGCAGAGAUGAAGUCACUGUGCUGCGAGAGGCAGAGAUGAGGAGAGGGAGGAAGGGAAAAGUGCGGCGCCUGGCUGGAGGAGCUGCAGAUGGCGAGGGCUGGCUGCAAGGGGAGGAGGCAGCACUGCAGCCCCAGUUCAGCUUUCAAGUCUGGUGCUCCCAGGAUCUACAUGCCAUGUCUUGGAUGUGGUUUGCCCCCGGGGCGAUCUCAACAGCUGUGAAGUUUCAGCAGAUGAACAAUGUAGUUUUCAAUAAAUUUCACAGAGCAAAUGAAA